CUUUCCAAGGAGCUCCGCCUCUCCUAACCAAACCAAGCUGCUGAUUUGACUCCGCUAAGGUGUCGACUCCUUUGUUUCUGGUAGCUUCUGGCGCCUACCAUGUUUGACUCCAAACGGAGUCCACCUCUUCAGCCGCGUCUCCUGGUACUUGGGUAUCUCCUCAGAGUUGCCGGCUCUGUAAGCUCCUGGGGCCUACGAUUGCUACAAGGGUCAUGACAGUGCAUCAGGUCUAAAGGUCAGUCUCGGGGAGCCGAACACUGCAGCAGAGCCGUGCUAUACCGCGGUACUGCGGCCCACAGAUCAGCACAGAGACGCGCAGGUCUCCCGAAAGUCAUCUCGUGGUCUCACUUCAGAGACAAGGAAGCAGCAGGAGAAGGAGCUGAUGGUAGCAUCUUUAACCACCAUCAGCAAGCAGGCCCCACCCACCAUGUGCACAGUAUGCACCUACCCAACGCAUGGCCCGGGUGUGCUCUAGGCGGUCAGCACGCCCCGGAUGUGGACACGGAGAGGCCGGCCGCUCUCUUGCUUUACACACAGAUGCCCACGUAGAAGAGCAGCAGCGGCAGCAAGUUUUGCUGCCUACUCCCGGCUGUAAGGGGAUUCAGUGAGGGAGCUGAGUGGGGCCUCUUUUUUCAGAACUGCCUGCUCUCGGUUUUCUGCUCCUAAAAGGCUGUAAUUACAACGCAUCAGCUGGCGACGUGCACUUGGUGCAGAAAAUAGACAAUGUCCGUUACUGCUGAAGAAGAGUGAUUGAAGGGCUGGUUGCCCUGCUUCCUUUCUUAAUGAGUUCCUGCCUGUCAUUAAACAAAUGGUGUAUGUUUAAAAAAAAUGGAUGCAGCUGAUGCCAGCUGCUGAGGAAUAGUCUAGAGGCCAAGGAUGCCCAUAGAUGAAGGGGUCACCAAGCAAAGCGGCCGUGGUCACAUGGGCCAGCUCCUCGAUGGCAGCCAGAUGUGGAGGCUCCUUCAAGAACACCUGUGAGGCGGGGACGCUUUGGCCAGCUUCUGUGACGGUGAAUUUUCUGUGCCAACCGGGCCAGGCUCUGGCCCAGGAUCUGCUAUGAUAUCAGACAUCUCCACUGGGCACUUGAAGUGCCGACCCUCUGUGUAUGUCCGGUUGGUUAAGCCAGACCUCGGAAUGGGGAUGUCACAGGCGGGACCCCAACAUAACAAACACAAUGUGCCGGGUCCUGCCUGACCCGCUUUUAGAAAAGAGACCCAGCUCUUGUCAUUCCAGAUGUGUCGUUAGCUAUCACACCAAGACCACACACGGACUUUGCCUGGCUUCCGGAAGUGCCAGGUGUUAAAAACAGACUGCUGUAGAACCCGGGAAGCCAACCCAAGAGCCUUGAGUCUGAGCCUACAAGAGGGGUGGAUCUACAGACCCCUCCUCCGUGCUGUAACGCCCUAGGCGUGACUCUCGGUGGCGGCGUGUGGGAGGGUGGGCGCUCUCGGUGGCCAGAAAGACAGUGUCACUGAGACUCCCAGGAAACUGCCACUUGAGUUGUCCUCGCAGAGAAUUUCUGUGCACCCAGAAAACUGAAAGGAGAAGAGAGCAAUGGUUUUCAGUCCCACCCAUCGACCUGAGGGAAGUGCCCUGAGCACGUGGUGCCCUCUCCUGUAGGUAAGGUCGGGGCCGCAGCCCUGCCCUUGCUUCGGCAGUUAGCAUUCCAACGGGGUUCCCUGGAGCCCUCAGGAAACUCGUUACAGCUGCCAUUCCAAAGGCUGCACGGUUCCCAUCACAGAGUCGCCCGCUGUUCUGUGCGGCUGAGCCACUUACGGGUGGGCAGCCAGUUGUGGGAAAAAGACGGGCGGACAGGGUGGCACCGGGGAGGGGACAAGAUCAAGGUGGAAAGGGGGGCAUUUGACAGAGUAAGUUCGGUCCACAUGUUAAUAAGUACUCAGCCUUCCCUCAGAGUCUCCCUUAACACAGGUGGGUGUUUUCAUAGCAACGGGAAGCACAAAAGAAUUGAGGAAUGCAAAUUGUCCUCAUGUCCCUCGCUCCUGACUGCCAACGGCACCACCUGGUGCCAGGAUGGAGCUACUGCAGGAAAAGCAGCCCAAGCUGCUGGUUGGGGGGGGGCAGAAGGGGGAGAGGGCGUCUUCAGACAUCCCAAAGGAAGAGAUGAGUGCCUCUGUUCACCCCGAGGUCGUUAGACGAGGUCACCCUGUAGUCACUGGACUAACUCAUCCCAUGGUCACCGGGCUGGGUCACUAGAUUAGGUCAUGGCCAUCGGGGCAGGACACCCAGCCAUCACUGGGAUAGUUUACCCAGCGGUAACCAAUCAAGGUGGCCUGUGGCAACUGGCCCUCCGUGCUGACUCCUUUGAUUGUGGAAUCACUACAUGCCUGUAUAGCUUUGUUCUAACCAUCGUUUUCCGGAUGUGUAACCUAUGCCACACAAGGCUGGGGGGGUGGGACACAGUCCCUGUGUCCUCUAAUCACUUCCCAGCUAAGGGGCUUUGUGGACUCUGGGAAUGCUACAGUGCUACGCAAGAAGCCUCUCAACAGCACACACCUCUCAGUGUCUCGGGGAGGAUGUUUCAGCCGACGUGAGGGGUUCAUUCGGCCUCACACGGAGGACAGUUUUACUAGUUUAAGAGGAAAACCCUGCUUGGUGCGGUGCUCGCGCCUUGAAUCCCAGCACUCGAGAGGCAGAGGCGGGCUGGUCACUGUGAGAAUGAGGGCAGCCUGGUCUACGCAGUGAGUUUCAGGCCAGGUAGGGCUACACAGUGAGAACCUGUCACCACCAUCACCACCAACACCACCGUCAUCACCGUCAUUAUUAUUUGGAGCGUCUAUUGCUGCGAAGAGACACCAUGACCACAGCAACUCUUGUAAAGGAAACCAUUUAAUUGGGGUGGCUUAUUUAUAGUUUCAGAGGUUUAGUCUUAGUCCAUCAUCAUCACGCUUUUCAACAGACAUGGUGCUGGAGUCGUAGCUGAGAGUCCUACAUUUUACAGGCAACAGAAAGUCAACUGAGACGCUGGGUGGUGUCCUGAGCACAGGAAACCUCGAAGUCCGCCCCCACAGUGACACCCUCCCUCCAGCAAGGCCACACCCCCACCCCA